rnacentral:rRNA from 1 species
GAGAUGAGUUCUCCCUGAGACUAUAAGUCUCCUGAAGGAACGUUAAAGACGAUGACGUUGAUAGGCCGGGUGUGUAAGCGCAGCGAUGCGUUGAGCUAACCGGUACUAAUGAACCGUGAGGCUUAACCUUACAACGCCGAAG